GGGGUGAAAGGCCAAUCAAACUCGGAAAUAGCUGGUUCUCCGCGAAAGCUAUUUAGGUAGCGCCUCGGACGAAUACCAUUGGGGGUAGAGCACUGUUUCGGCUAGGGGGUCAUCCCGACUUACCAAACCGAUGCAAACUCCGAAUACCUACAAGUGCCGAGCAUGGGAGACACACGGCGGGUGCUAACGUCCGUCGUGAAAAGGGAAACAACCCAGACCGUCAGCUAAGGUCCCAAAGUUAUGGUUAAGUGGGAAACGAUGUGGGAAGGCUUAGACAGCUAGGAGGUUGGCUUAGAAGCAGCCAUCCUUUAAAGAAAGCGUAACAGCUCACUGGUCUAAACAAGGGUUCCUGCGCCGAAAAUGUAACGGGGCUCAAGCCACGAGCCGAAGCUUCGGAUGCAGUCCUUCGGGGCUGCGUGGUAGCGGAGCGUUCCC
rnacentral:rRNA from 1 species